GCACGGGUAGCAAUACUUGUGCCUAGACCGGCAAACGGGUGAGGAACACGUACACAACCUUCCUUUUAGUGGAGCAUAACCCAGGGAAACUUGGACUAAUACUCCGUAAUAUGUUUGAGAGGCAUCUUUUGGACAUUAUAGUGGCAACACGCUAGAAGACGGGUGUGCGUAUGAUUAGGUAGUUGGCGGGGUAACGGCCCACCAAGCCUACGAUCAUUAACUGGUGUGAGAGCAUGACCAGUCACACGGGCACUGAGACACGUGCCCGACUCCUACGGGAGGCAGCAGUAAGGAAUAUUGGUCAAUGGACGCAAGUCUGAACCAGCCAUGCCGCGUGGAGGAUGAAGGUCCUCUGGAUUGUAAACUUCUUUUAUAUGGGGCGAAAAAAGGCUUUUCUAAGUCGUCUGACGGUACCAUAUGAAUAAGCACCGGCUAACUCCGUGCCAGCAGCCGCGGUAAUACGGAGGGUGCAAGCGUUAUCCGGAUUCACUGGGUUUAAAGGGAGCGUAGGUGGGCUGAUAAGUCAGUGGUGAAAUCUCCGAGCUUAACUUGGAAACUGCCAUUGAUACUAUUAGUCUUGAAUAUUGUGGAGGUUAGCGGAAUAUGUCAUGUAGCGGUGAAAUGCUUAGAUAUGACAUGGAACACCAAUUGCGAAGGCAGCUGGCUACACAUAUAUUGACACUGAUGCUCGAAAGCGUGGGGAUCAAACAGGAUUAGAUACCCUGGUAGUCCACGCCCUAAACUAUGGAUACUCGACAUACGCGAUACACAGUGUGUGUCUGAGCGAAAGCAUUAAGUAUCCCACCUGGGAAGUACGACCGCAAGGUUGAAACUCAAAGGAAUUGGCGGGGGUCCGCACAAGCGGUGG
rnacentral:rRNA from 1 species